UCGAAUUUCACUCUUCAAGUAUGUGAAUGUGGGACGAUCUGCUUUCACCUACAUUAUUCUUUGUUACCAUGGUGUCGUUGUUCAUCGCUACGGUGACGCUGCACAUUGUGAUGUUGUGGGAUUUACUCUGACACUCAUUGUGACGCUUCAAAAAGGCUCGACUGUCACUAUGGCAACAGGGAUCCUGUUCACAAACAGUGAUGUUGAUCAGAUUAACUCAGAUGACUGCCUGUAUCACACAUGUUCUUGUUGCCAUGGCAAAGUUGGCUGUGCGGGAUGGUUACCAUGGUGACGGGGAGAGAGUGUGUCAUUGAGGAGGAUGGGGCCUCCAUCACGUCUGCAGGAGAACCACAGUCCAUCAGGAGACGUCACCCGGCAGAAAAGGCAUAUUCUAGUACACCCCAAAGUCAAGGCUUCUUGAAAGGGCAUACUAAGAAUGAAAGUGUGUGUGCUAAAUG